rnacentral:rRNA from 1 species
GUGAGGAAUAUUGCGCAAUGGAGGCAACUCUGACGCAGCCAUGGCGCGUGCAGGAAGAAGGCGCUACGCGUUGUAAACUGCUUUUAACCGGGAAGAAACCCCAGGACGUGUCCUGGGUUGACGGUACCGGAGGAAUAAGCACCGGCUAACUUCGUGCCAGCAGCCGCGGUAAUACGAAGGGUGCAAGCGUUAUCCGGAUUCAUUGGGUUUAAAGGGUGCGUAGGCGGAGCGUUAAGUCAGUGGUGAAAUCCUGCAGCUUAACUGUAGACUUGCAAUUGAUACUGGCGCUCUUGAGUGCGCUUGAAGUGGGCGGAAUGUGCCGUGUAGCGGUGAAAUGCUUAGAUAUGGCACAGAACACCAAUUGCGAAGGCAGCUCACUAAGGCGAUACUGACGCUGAGGCACGAAAGCGUGGGGAUCGAACAGGAUUAGAAACCCUGGUAGUCC